AACCUUGUAGUUAAAAAAAUAAUAUUAAAAUGCAAUUUUAAAGUUGAGCAAAAAUCUAAGGUUU
rnacentral:tRNA from 1 species